AUUGAACGCUGGCGGCAGGCUUAACACAUGCAAGUCGAACGAGUGGCGGACGGGUGAGUAAUGCUUGGGAAUCCUGCUUAUGGAGGGGGAUAACCACGGGAAACUGUAGCUAAUACCGCGUACCAUAGUAUGAGCCCAAGUGGGAUGAGGUAGUUGGUGGGGUAAUGGCUCACCAAGCCGACGAUCUCUAGCUGGUCUGAGAGGAUGACCGCCCACACGGGGACGGAGACACGGCCCAGACUCCUACGGGAGGCAGCAGUGGGGAAUAUUGCGCAAUGGGGGCAACCUGACGCAGCCAUGCCGCGUGAAUGACGAAGGCCUUCGGGUUGUAAAGUUCUUUCGGUAGCGAGGCGUUACCUGCAGAAGAAGCACCGGCUAACUCCGUGCCAGCAGCCGCGGUAAUAC
rnacentral:rRNA from 1 species